CAUGUGCAAAAUAACUCAAAUCUAACAAAAAAUCCGAUGGAAUUUAGGAAAUGCCAGAGAAAUUAUCUGUCAUCCCAAAAUUUAGGAACCAACCUUGGCACAACUCACUUAUAUCGAAACUAACCCAAAUCCAUC